GCAUGGAGCCGACCUUGAAAUACCACCCUUUAAUGUUUGAUGUUCUAACGUGGACCCGUGAUCCGGGUUGCGGACAGUGUCUGGUGGGUAGUUUGACUGGGGCGGUCUCCUCCUAAAGAGUAACGGAGGAGCACGAAGGUUGGCUAAUCCUGGUCGGACAUCAGGAGGUUAGUGCAAUGGCAUAAGCCAGCUUGACUGCGAGCGUGACGGCGCGAGCAGGUGCGAAAGCAGGUCAUAGUGAUCCGGUGGUUCUGAAUGGAAGGGCCAUCGCUCAACGGAUAAAAGGUACUCCGGGGAUAACAGGCUGAUACCGCCCAAGAGUUCAUAUCGACGGCGGUGUUUGGCACCUCGAUGUCGGCUCAUCACAUCCUGGGGCUGAAGUAGGUCCCAAGGGUAUGGCUGUUCGCCAUUUAAAGUGGUACGCGAGCUGGGUUUAGAACGUCGUGAGACAGUUCGGUCCCUAUCUGCCGUGGGCGCUGGAGAACUGAGGGGGGCUGCUCCUAGUACGAGAGGACCGGAGUGGACGCAUCACUGGUGUUCGGGUUGUCAUGCCAAUGGCACUGCCCGGUAGCUAAAUGCGGAAGAGA
rnacentral:rRNA from 1 species